UCUCUUCACUUUUUAUGUUAUUUAUAUAGAUUCAAGUAAGAACUCUUAUCUAUUACUAUUAAAUAUAUCUUCUUUGAUGGCGACUGAAGCAAAAAUUGAUUGAAGUAGGAAAAAACCUCCUAUCAUUUAUUGUUCUCUAGAAAAUCUUACAAAGAUUUUCAUUUAAUUUCAAAGAUUAUCACUAAAAAUAAUUUCAAAAAAUUUUAAUGAUAUUAAAAUUUACAUUCAUCA
rnacentral:lncRNA from 1 species